GUAGGGGGCAAGCGUUGUCCGGAAUCAUUGGGCGUAAAGCGCGCGUAGGCGGCCCGGUAAGUCCGCUGUAAAAGUCCAGGGCUCAACCCUGGAAAGCCGGUGGAUACUGUCGGGCUAGAGUCCGGAAGAGGCGAGUGGAAUUCCUGGUGUAGCGGUGGAAUGCGCAGAUAUCAGGAGGAACACCGAUGGCGAAGGCAGCUCGCUGGGACGGUACUGACGCUGAGGCGCGAAAGCGUGGGGAGCGAACAGGAUUAGAUACCCUGGUAGUCCACGCCGUAAACGAUGGGCACUAGGUGUGGGAGGUGUCGACUCCUUCCGUGCCGUCGCUAACGCAUUAAGUGCCCCGCCUGGGGAGUACGGCCGCAAGGCUAAA
rnacentral:rRNA from 1 species